UGAGUACGAGCUGCUACGGCAGCGAAGUGGGUGACGUCAAGCUUCCAAGAAAAGCCCUAUACCCGUUAAGGCAUGAUGGCCUGUACCCGAAACCGACACAGGUGGGGUGGUAGAGAAUACCGAGGGGCGCGAGGUAACUCUCUCCAAGGAACUCGGCAAAAUGGCCCCGUAACUUCGGGAGAAGGGGUGCCACCGCAAGGUGGUCGCAGUGAAGAGGCCCAGGCGACUGUUUACCAAAAACACAGGUCUCCGCUAAGUCGCAAGACGAUGUAUGGGGGCUGACGCCUGCCCAGUGCCGGAAGGUUAAGGAAGUUGGUCAGCGAAAGCGAAGCUAGCGACUGAAGCCCCGGUGAACGGCGGCCGUAACUAUAACGGUCCUAAGGUAGCGAAAUUCCUUGUCGGGUAAGUUCCGACCCGCACGAAAGGCGUAACGAUCUGGGCGCUGUCUCGGAGAGAGGCUCGGCGAAAUAGAAUUGUCUGUGAAGAUGCGGACUACGUGCACCCGGACAGAAAGACCCUAUGAAGCUUUACUGUAGCUUGGUAUUGUGCCCGGGCCCUGAAUGCGCAGGAUAGGUGGGAGGCUUUGAUCCAUGGCUUGCGGGUCAUGGAGAGCCAACGGUGAGAUACCACUCUUUCAGAGCUAGGGUUCUAACGGUCACCCGUUAUCCGGGGACCGGACAGUAUCUGGUGGGCAGUUUGACUGGGGCGGUCGCCUCCUAAAAGGUAACGGAGGCGCGCAAAGGUUUGCUCAGGCUGGUUGGAAAUCAGCCGACGAGUGUAAAAGCAGAAGCAAGCUUGACUGUGAGACCAACAAGUCGAACAGGGACGAAAGUCGGCUUUAGUGGUCCGUCGGUUCUGAGUGGAAGGGCCGUCGCUCAACGGAUAAAAGUUACUCUAGGAUAACAGGCUGAUCUCCCCCAAGAGUUCACAUCGACGGGGAGGUUUGGCACCUCGAUGUCGGCUCAUCGCAACCUGGGGCUGAAGUCGGUCCCAAGGGUUGGGCUGUUCGCCCAUUUAAGCGGUACGCGAGCUGGGUUCAGAACGUCGUGAGACAGUUCGGUCCAUAUCCGGUGCAUGCGCAGGAAUAUUGAGAGGAGUUCUCCCUAGUACGAGAGGACCGGGAGGAACGCACCUCUGGUGUACCAGUUAUCGUGCCAACGGUAAACGCUGGGUAGCCAUGUGCGGAGAGGAUAACCGCUGAAAGCAUCUAAGUGGGAAGCCCACCUCAAGAUGAGUAUUCCCAUGGCAUAAGCCAGUAAGGUCACGGGAAGAACACCCGUUGAUAGGCUCUACGUGGAAGCGCAGUAAUGCGUGAAGCGGAGGAGUACUAAUAGACC
rnacentral:rRNA from 1 species